AUCGCUUCUCAGCCUUUUGGCUAAGAUCAAGUGUAGUAUCUGUUCUUAUUGGUUUAAUAUCUGAUGCGUCCCCUAUCUGGGGACCAUAUAUUAAAGGGGUAUUCCAGACAAAACCUUUUUUUAUAUAUAUCAACGGGCUCCGGAAAGUUAAACAGAUUUGUAAAUUACUUCUAUUAAAAAAUCUUAAUCCUUC